rnacentral:rRNA from 1 species
UACGUAGGGUGCGAGCGUUAAUCGGAAUUACUGGGCGUAAAGCGUGCGCAGGCGGUUUUGUAAGCCAGAUGUGAAAUCCCCCGGGCUUAACCUGGGAAUGGCAUUUGGGACUGCAAGGCUGGAGUGCGGCAGAGGAGACUGGAAUUCCCGGUGUAGCAGUGAAAUGCGUAGAUAUCGGGAGGAAUACCGAUGGCGAAGGCAGGUCUCUGGGCUGACACUGACGCUCAUGCACGAAAGCGUGGGGAGCAAACAGG